rnacentral:rRNA from 1 species
AUUGAACGCUGGCGGCAUGCCUUACACAUGCAAGUCGAACGGCAGCACGGGAGCUUGCUCCUGGUGGCGAGUGGCGAACGGGUGAGUAAAGCAUCGGAACGUACCGUGUAGUGGGGGAUAACGUAGCGAAAGUUACGCUAAUACCGCAUACGCACUGAGGUGGAAAGCAGGGGAUCGUAAGACCUUGCGCUAUACGAGCGGCCGGUGUCAGAUUAGCUAGUUGGUAGGGUAAAGGCCUACCAAGGCGACGAUCUGUAGCGGGUCUGAGAGGACGAUCCGCCACACUGGGACUGAGACACGGCCCAGACUCCUACGGGAGGCAGCAGUGGGGAAUUUUGGACAAUGGGGGCAACCCUGAUCCAGCCAUGCCGCGUGAGUGAAGAAGGCCUUCGGGUUGUAAAGCUCUUUCGGCCGGGAAGAAAUCGCACAGGCUAAUACCCUGUGUGGAUGACGGUACCGGCAUAAGAAGCACCGGCUAACUACGUGCCAGCCGCCGCCGUAA